rnacentral:rRNA from 1 species
UACGGAGGGUGCAAGCGUUAUCCGGAUUCACUGGGUUUAAAGGGUGCGUAGGUGGGUUGGUAAGUCAGUGGUGAAAUCUCCGAGCUUAACUUGGAAACUGCCGUUGAUACUGCAGGGCUAGAGUGCAGAAGGGGCAACUGGAAUUCUCGGUGUAGCGGUGAAAUGCGCAGAUAUCGGGAGGAACACCGGUGGCGAAGGCGGCACCCUGGGCCAGUCCUGACGCUGAUGCGCGAAAGCGUGGGGAGCAAACAGG